CAUGAGAAACACCUUAAUCAGAAAUAUUGAUUUAACUAUAAAACUAGUUAGAUCUAAGUUACAUAUCACAUAUAUAAUUUUAGAUCUAACUUAUACAUGCUUUGCAUACAUCUCAUGUAUUAAAAUCUGAUCUAACUAGCAUGCUUUCAGAUCUGAUAUAUCACAUAUAACAUCUAAAAAAUAAGAUUUAAAUUGAACUAUUC
rnacentral:lncRNA from 1 species